GACGAACGCUGGCGGCGUGCUUAACACAUGCAAGUCGAACGGAAAGGCCCUGCUUUUGUGGGGUGCUCGAGUGGCGAACGGGUGAGUAACACGUGAGUAACCUGCACUUGACUUUGGGAUAACUUCAGGAAACUGGGGCUAAUAUCGGAUAGGAGCUCCUGCUGCAUGGUGGGGGUUGGAAAGUUUCGGCGGUUGGGGAUGGACUCGCGGCUUAUCAGCUUGUUGGUGGGGUAGUGGCUUACCAAGGCUUUGACGGGUAGCCGGCCUGAGAGGGUGGCCGGCCACAUUGGGACUGAGAUACGGCCCAGACUCCUACGGGAGGCAGCGGUGGGGAAUAUUGCACAGUGGGCGGAAGCCUGAUGCAGCAACGCCGCGUGCGGGAUGACGGGCUUCGGGUUGUAAACCGCUGUCGCCUGUGACGAGGCGUGAGUGACGGUAAUGGGUAAAGAAGCACCGGCUAACUACGUG
rnacentral:rRNA from 1 species